UUGGACCCCAGACCACGUUGCAGAGAGGCUGAGGGAGGAGCGCAAGCUUCGGAAACAGGCACCUGGGUGUGGGAGCUUCCUCCGCUUUACUAGCUGUGUGACCUUGGGCAAGUGACUCACCCUCUCUGAGCCUCUUCUGUAUCUGUGAAAUCAUCACUCAGAGAUGGGGUUGUUACUGGUGGAAUGUGUCCGAGUUACCACAGGG
rnacentral:lncRNA from 1 species